rnacentral:piRNA from 1 species
UGUCAGGUAAUUCGAAUGUGGGA